rnacentral:snoRNA from 1 species
AUUAAUGAUAAGAAUAUGUCAUGAACCAAGGAUUAUAAUUAACCAAUUUCUGUACAUCUGCAAU